rnacentral:rRNA from 1 species
AGAAUCAACGCUGGCGGCGUGCCUAACACAUGCAAGUCGCACGAGAAAGGGGCUUCGGCCCUGAGUAAAGUGGCGCACGGGUGAGUAACACGUGACUAACCUACCCUCGAGUGGGGAAUAACCUAGAGAAAUCUGGGCUAAUACCGCAUAACACUUACGAGUCAAAGCAGCAAUGCGCUUGAGGAGGGGGUCGCGGCAGAUUAGUUAGUUGGCAGGGUAAUGGCCUACCAAGACAAUGAUCUGUAUCCGGCCUGAGAGGGCGCACGGACACACUGGAACUGAAACACGGUCCAGACUCCUACGGGAGGCAGCAGUGGGGAAUUUUGCGCAAUGGGGGAAACCCUGACGCAGCAACGCCGCGUGGAGGAUGAAGUCCCUUGGGACGUAAACUCCUUUCGAUCGGGACGAUAAUGACGGUACCGGAAGAAGAAGUCCCGGCUAACUUCGCGCCAGCAGCCGC